GCACCCAUGUUUAGACACAGUGUAGAAAAAAUUGUCUUUCAAUUUCUUUCGAAAAAUCGAUUUACGAUUUUUUGAGGGAUUUUGAUCUGACAUUUUUUAGGAAUUUCUGUGCUCUACAUUUACAUUUCCUUACAUAUAUUAAGCCUCAGUACCUGAUCCCCUUAACAAGCAAGAAGUUGACUGCAACAUGCAUCCACCUUGAGUUUUCUGAAUCAAAGGUUGUUUCAGAAAAGGGAGGGAUGGGAGAUGCAGAGACAGUUGUGGCUGGUACCGAGAUGUGGCGUUCGAGGAGUGAUCAGGUCUGACUGGCACACAGCUUUGCAACCAAACACUUAACACAUUUAGAAACAAGCACCUACAUGAAGAAAUAUAUCUAGAGAACACAUUCACAGGAGCAGACUAUCGCCCAGGGAGGGGAUAGCAGAGUUCAUGGCGUGGUUUUGGAGAAUGUUUGAGAAAUGAACUAACCACAGUUAAGUUUUUCUUUGAGCAGGUUACCGGAGCCCACCAGGAGCCAGUGGACUAAGUCCAGGCGAAUGGGGUGCUCUGAAGUCAUUGCAAGGACCUCGGAGCGCCCUCGAUGGGUUCGAGCACGAGAAAGGAGGGUGCUGGACGAAUACCUGCCUGCUAUCAGAUCCUAGUAGGAUUUGAAUAUUUCUAUGCCCUAGUCAAGGGCCAUAGAUAGGAUCAAUUACACUUAUCAUAACCGGUAAAGAUAAAUAAAGUUAGAUUGGAUUGGAUAAGUAAUUGAGACUCUGUUGGACGGGGUGAGAAGCUGCUCCUCCGACUCAGUUAAAGAUUGCGAAUUCAAGCCUAGAAAGUAUUAGAUACUUAUUUAAAUAUAGAAAUUAUGAUAUAGAUAAUUUUUCAUAGUCAAGUGUCACAUUCUGUAUAGAGCCGCCCUAGUGGCCGCUGUGUUGUGUUUUCUCAUUUUCUCCAACAGCUACACCUGACGCUCCAGCAUCGUCCAUCGUGUGCUGGCUGCCUGCUGUGAGGACCUGCCAUGAGGAGCUGCCCACAGGAGCAUCGGACACCAUCAUCACCUGACUCAGAGAGACUGAGGAGCAGACGGAGCCAUGCUGAAGACCCCUGCGAUGCCAUUCGGAGAAGAGGAAGAAGGACAGAUGACAUCAUGUGGAUAUGCGAAUCCACCGACGGCUCAGCCAGUGAAAACCAUGAGGAAUAAUAUCUCCCCAGGGGCUGGGACGCCCGGUAUGAGACAGGUUCCAGAGACAAGGCUUUUUCGACCAGAGAACCACUGCAUGCAGGUAGCUGCAUGAAGGCCGAGAUCCUUGAGAAGUCCUCAGCUGAGAUUUAGUGAGUGUGAAUUGCUGGUAGACAGUUAACUGCUUGCAGUCUGUGGAAGCAGUAGUUCAUGCUCCCUCAGCUGAGUGGGACGAUCGCAACCAUCAUUGACAAUCUGCUUGGAGGAAUACUGGAGUUGCAGAGCAUGUAUGCGGAGGGACUGGAUUCACAGGGAUGCACAGACACCUGCACAGAGACACUUAGACAGUGCACACGUUACAUUAACCGGAACCAUCAGGACAGCAAGAUUUUUACCUGUGUGAUGAAUACAUUCACACCGACACUUAGUGUUAUUUAGUUUCCUUGAGAAGCAGGGAUGCAAGGAGGGAGUGAUGUUCUUCUUCCACAGGGAUGCUGAAUGAUAGAGUGAUAAUUAAAAUGUUGUACAAUGUUUGUUUACAUAGAGCGUCAAAAUAAAAGGGAUAUUACUUUGAUGUUUAUACUAUUGGAUAAGUAUAAAAGGAGGGAUUGUUAAGUUGUAAUAGUUUAUUUUGAUAACAUCUGCAGAGGUCUUAUGGUUUAAAUUAAUACAUAUAGAAAGAUAUUAUAAUAGACAAUAUUAAGGAGAAUAUUGAUGUUGUUAUUAAUGUAUUAUGAAGCAUAGGGGUAAUGUUUACUCUAUGCAAAUGUAAAUGGCAAGAAUUAAUGUAUGUUGCAUGAGAGUGACUGUAUGUUAGUAUUAUAGAUUGACGAAGCCGGUUGAAAUCCGUGAAGUGACUUUUAUUGUGAAGGUGACUUUAAUUGACGGGAAUCUUAUUGUGAAAGCGACUGGAACCGGAAGUGACUGUUUGACCGAAAACAGGAAGAGUAUAUGACUGCGUGUUUGUAGAGAGCUCGUUCUCUUUUUCACAGGUAAGCCCCGGAGGGGGAAGGCUGAGCUCCGUGAGGAGCCGGCAGCCGGGACACGAGAGAGAGCGCUUUCAAUUUACUGCUUAGACUUCUUGCCAUUAAAUAUUGUUAACCGUA